AGUUUGAUCCUGGCUCAGAACGAACGCUGGCGGCAGGCUUAACACAUGCAAGUCGAACGCCCCGCAAGGGGAGUGGCAGACGGGUGAGUAACGCGUGGGAACAUACCCUUUCCUGCGGAAUAGCUCUGGGAAACUGGAAUUAAUACCGCAUACGCCCUACGGGGGAAAGAUUUAUCGGGGAAGGAUUGGCCCGCGUUGGAUUAGCUAGUUGGUGGGGUAAAGGCCUACCAAGGCGACGAUCCAUAGCUGGUCUGAGAGGAUGAUCAGCCACAUUGGGACUGAGACACGGCCCAAACUCCUACGGGAGGCAGCAGUGGGGAAUAUUGGACAAUGGGCGCAAGCCUGAUCCAGCCAUGCCGCGUGAG
rnacentral:rRNA from 1 species